UGGGGAAUAUUGGACAAUGGGCGCAAGCCUGAUCCAGCCAUGCCGCGUGAGUGAUGAAGGCCCUAGGGUUGUAAAGCUCUUUCACCGGUGAAGAUAAUGACGGUAACCGGAGAAGAAGCCCCGGCUAACUUCGUGCCAGCAGCCGCGGUAAUACGAAGGGGGCUAGCGUUGUUCGGAUUUACUGGGCGUAAAGCGCACGUAGGCGGACUAUUAAGUCAGGGGUGAAAUCCCGGGGCUCAACCCCGGAACUGCCUUUGAUACUGGUAGUCUUGAGUUCGAGAGAGGUGAGUGGAAUUCCGAGUGUAGAGGUGAAAUUCGUAGAUAUUCGGAGGAACACCAGUGGCGAAGGCGGCUCACUGGCUCGAUACUGACGCUGAGGUGCGAAAGCGUGGGGAGCAAAUAGG
rnacentral:rRNA from 1 species